GGAUGAGCCCGCGGCCUAUCAGCUUGUUGGUGAGGUAACGGCUCACCAAGGCGACGACGGGUAGCCGGCCUGAGAGGGCGACCGGCCACACUGGGACUGAGACACGGCCCAGACUCCUACGGGAGGCAGCAGUGGGGAAUAUUGCACAAUGGGCGAAAGCCUGAUGCAGCGACGCCGCGUGAGGGAUGACGGCCUUCGGGUUGUAAACCUCUUUCAGCAGGGAAGAAGCGAAAGUGACGGUACCUGCAGAAGAAGCGCCGGCUAACUACGUGCCAGCAGCCGCGGUAAUACGUAGGGCGCAAGCGUUGUCCGGAAUUAUUGGGCGUAAAGAGCUCGUAGGCGGCUUGUCACGUCGGUUGUGAAAGCCCGGGGCUUAACCCCGGGUCUGCAGUCGAUACGGGCAGGCUAGAGUUCGGUAGGGGAGAUCGGAAUUCCUGGUGUAGCGGUGAAAUGCGCAGAUAUCAGGAGGAACACCGGUGGCGAAGGCGGGUCUCUGGGCCGAUACUGACGCUGAGGAGCGAAAGCGUGGGGAGCGAACAGGAUUAGAUACCCUGGUAGUCCACGCCGUAAACGGUGGGCACUAGGUGUGGGCAACAUUCCACGUUGUCCGUGCCGCAGCUAACGCAUUAAGUGCCCCGC
rnacentral:rRNA from 1 species